GACGCACGCUGGCGGCAUGCCUAACACAUGCAAGUCGACCGCGCCCUCCGGGUCUUGUGUCGCACUUGUGCGUAACGCGUUGGAAACCGCCCUUAGGUUUGGAAUCACUCCCCGGAUGGGGUGCUAUUACCGGUUACUUUCUUCGGGCCCCAAAUUUAUCGCCUUUGGAUGGGCCCGCGUUGGUUUAGCUAGUUGUUAGGGUAGAAGCCUCCCAAGGCGACGAUCCUUAGCUGGUCUGGGAGGAUGAUCAGCCACACUGGGACUGAGACACGGCCCAGACUCCUGCGGGAGGCAGCAGUGGGGAAUAUUGGACAACGGGCGAAAGCCUGAUCCAGCAAUGCCGCGUGAGUGAUGAAGGCCUUAGGGUUGUAAAGCUCUUUUGCCCGUGAUGAGAAUGACAGUACCGGGAGAAUAAGCACCGGCUAACUCCGUG
rnacentral:rRNA from 1 species